CUACGGGCGGCUGCAGUGAGGAAUUUUGCGCAAUGGGGGCAACCCUGACGCAGCAACGCCGCGUGAGUGAAGAAGGCCUUUGGGUCGUAAAGCUCUGUCAAUUGGGAAGAAGUUACUGUUGUUUAAUAGAUGACGGUAUUGACGGUACCAAUGGAGGAAGCGCCGGCUAACUCCGUGCCAGCAGCCGCGGUAACACGGGGGGCGCAAGCGUUAUUCGGAAUUAUUGGGCGUAAAGGGCGCGUAGGCGGUCUUAUCGGUCAGAUGUGAAAGCCCGGGGCUCAACCCCGGACGUGCAUUUGAAACAGUAAGACUUGAGUACGGGAGAGGAAGGCGGAAUUCCUGGUGUAGAGGUGAAAUUCGUAGAUAUCAGGAGGAACACCGAUGGCGAAGGCAGCUUUCUGGACCGAUACUGACGCUGAGGCGCGAAGGCGUGGGUAGCGAACGGGAUUAGAUACCCGGGUAGUC
rnacentral:rRNA from 1 species